GAAAAACACGUUCAAGUUUUUAUUCACAAAGUACAGAGAAUACAUGAAGUUCCUCACUAAGUGAUCAUUAUGCCAAAAUCAAAAUUUCAGUAAGAAGACUGUUAGAAUGCCCUCGGUAACACAGAGGCUGAGAGAUCCUGACAUAAAUCCUUGUUUGUCGAUCCUGUUCUACCUUUUAAAUGAUGCCUCUCUUAUAUCUGUAAGGAAUCUGAUGCUUCCACCAGAUGUCUGGAUGAAAAUAACUAUGACAGGGAAAGGUGUUCCACUUACUUCUUGAGGUACAAAAACUGCCGGAGAUUCUGGAAUUCUAUCGUGAUGCAGAGAAGAAAGAACGGAGUGAAGCCAUUUAUGCCUACGGCAGCAGAAAGAGAUGAAAUCUUGAGAGCAGUGGGAAAUAUGCCCUAUUGAAUGUUUGCAUUAAAAGUGUUUAUAUAACUUAGAA
rnacentral:lncRNA from 1 species